rnacentral:rRNA from 1 species
GAGUUUGAUCGUGGCUCAGAUUGAACGCUGGCGGCAGGCUUAACAUAUGCAAGUCGAGCGGGGGAGAUUGCUUCGGUAAUUGACCUAGCGGCGAACGGGCGAGUAAUACUUAGGAAUCUGCCUAUUAAUGGGGGACAACAUCUCGAAAGGGAUGCUAAUACCGCAUACGCCCUACGGGGAAAGCAGGGGAUCACUUGUGACCUUGCGUUAAUAGAUGAGCCUAAGUCGGAUUAGCUAGUUGGUGGGGUAAAGGCCUACCAAGGCGACGAUCUGUAGCGGGUCUGAGAGGAUGAUCCGUCACACUGGGACUGAGACACGGCCCAGACUCCUACGGGAGGCAGCAGUGGGGAAUAUUGGACAAUGGGGGAACCCUGAUCCAGCCAUGCGCGUCGUGUGAGAAGGACGUAC